rnacentral:rRNA from 1 species
UACGUAGGAGGCAAGCGUUGUCCGGAGUUACUGGGCGUAAAGGGCCCGCAGGCGGUGGAGUAAGUUUGGAGUGACAGUUCCCAGCUUAACCGGGAAAGGACUUCGAAAACUGCUCGACUUGAGGACUGGAGAGGAAGGCGGAAUUCCGGGUGGAGCGGUGAAAUGCGUAGAGAUCCGGAGGAACACCGACGGCGAAGGCAGCCUUCUGGAAAGUACCUGACGCUGAGGGCGAAAGCUAGGGAGGCGAAGCGG